CAGCCGCCGCGGGAAUACAGAGGGUGCGAGCGUUAAUCGGAUUUACUGGGCGUAAAGCGUGCGUAGGCGGCUUCUUAAGUCGGAUGUGAAAUCCCUGAGCUUAACUUAGGAAUUGCAUUCGAUACUGGGAAGCUAGAGUAUGGGAGAGGAUGGUAGAAUUCCAGGUGUAGCGGUGAAAUGCGUAGAGAUCUGGAGGAAUACCGAUGGCGAAGGCAGCCAUCUGGCCUAAUACUGACGCUGAGGUACGAAAGCAUGGGGAGCAAACAGGAUUAGAUACCCCUGUAGUCCAUGUCUCUUAUAC
rnacentral:rRNA from 1 species